UUUUGUGCUGGAAGGAAUCUCAAAGUUUAUUUAGUCCAAAUUUCCUUAUUUUUAUAGAUGAGACUAAGGAUUCAAUUUGAAGUUUAGGAUUCAAACCCAGGUUCCUUGGCUCUUCUGUUUCCUGACUUGCCUUUUCAGAAAGAACAGCCCUCCCAGGGAAAGCAAUUCAAUCCUAUUAACUAACUGUGUACUCAUAGAUUUGGAACUAGAAUGGCCCUUUCUGCUCAUUUCAUCUGAGCUCCCCACUUUAUAAGAUGAGGAUAUUGAACUUUAGAAAUAUUACUCAGUCAUUACUCACUCAGAGGUGUAGGUUACAUGGAGUUCCAGUGUGUCUGAAGGACACUCCUCAGUGUUAUGGCAAGAAAGUUCUGCAUACUGGUAACACUAGCUCAGUUUAUUUGCCUGCAUCUUUUGGGUAACAAUUAGACAAGGGGUCAGGAUAAAUAUUUUGAAUCCUGGCUCAGCUCAUUUGGGGCAACCUGGACAAGUCUGGAUCCUUCUGUGGUCUCCUGGAGUUCCCUCACUUAUAAAACAGGAUUAAUGAUAACAGUCUACCCAUUACAAAGGGUUAUUGAGAAAAUCAAAUGGCAUGACCAUGUGAAAAACAGAUUUUCUUCCCUGGAACAGCCUCCCUCACAUCGUGGGGAGCACCCUCAAUAGUGAAAUGGGAGCCCCAGGGCUUUGGUAGCUUUGGUAGCUUUGGAUGCUGCCACAGGAAGGAAGUGAAACCUGGCAGCCACCUGCAGAGGCUUCUUAAUGCAAACUUUUAUUGGCUGUACCGCCUUUCCUGACAUUGCUGCUGACACUGUCUUCAUCAACAUUCAUCUGUGAUUGUCAUCGCCUCCACGGUGAUAAAUCCUGCACAGGUACCCAAGGGUGUUCAGAAUACAACCAAUUUUCUCUGGGUUUCAUUCCCCCACAACUCUCCACACCACUGGACUGCAAAACCUAAUUGGGCUAUUGUCUGCUUCCCAAAACAAACUCAUUUUUCUCCACCGAACCAUCAGAGAUGCUGUCAAUCAACAUGAAACAUGUCAGAUUUUGAAAGGGGGUGGCAAGGCCUGUAAUCUCACAAGCAUUCCCAUGUAAACAAGUUCACCAUCAUUUGGGGAAUUAAAGAAAAUCACCUGCAUAUUUGAGUCUUUUUUUCCAU
rnacentral:lncRNA from 1 species